GGCCGCUCCGGUGACCUAGUGUUUAGAGCGUUCGCCUCGGAUGCGCAAGGUCGCGGGUUCGAGCCCUGGCCGAGUCA